UAGGGAAUCUUCGGCAAUGGGGGCAACCCUGACCGAGCAACGCCGCGUGAGUGAAGAAGGUUUUCGGAUCGUAAAGCUCUGUUGUAAGAGAAGAACGUGUGUGAGAGUGGAAAGUUCACACAGUGACGGUAACUUACCAGAAAGGGACGGCUAACUACGUACCAG
rnacentral:rRNA from 1 species